ACGCUGGCGGCACGCCUAACACAUGCAAGUCGAACGAAGUAGCAAUACUUAGUGGCAGACGGGUGAGUAACAUGUAGGUAUCUACCCUUUGGCCUGGAAUAACACGAGGAAACUUGUGCUAAUACCGGAUAAGUCUUUACGGAGAAAGCUUUAUGCACCAUUGGAUGAGCCUGCACUUGAUUAGUUUGUUGGUAGGGUAAUGGCCUACCAAGACUGUGAUCAAUAGCUGAUUUGAGAGGAUGAUCAGCCACAUUGGGACUGAGACACGGCCCAAACUCCUACGGGAGGCAGCAGUGGGGAAUCUUGCACAAUGGAGGAAACUCUGAUGCAGCGAUGCCGCGUGAGUGAAGAAGGCCCUUGGGUUGUAAAGCUCUUUCGUCGGGGAAGAAAAUGACUGUACCCGAAUAAGAAGGUCCGGCUAACUUCGUGCCAGCAGCCGCGGUAAUACGAAGGGACCUAGCGUAGUUCGGAAUUACUGGGCUUAAAGAGUUCGUAGGUGGUUGAAAAAGUUGGUGGUGAAAUCCCAGAGCUUAACUCUGGAACUGCCAUCAAAACUUUUCAGCUAGAGUUUGAUAGAGGAAAGCAGAAUUUCUAGUGUAGAGGUGAAAUUCGUAGAUAUUAGAAAGAAUACCAAUUGCGAAGGCAGCUUUCUGGAUCAUUACUGACACUGAGGAACGAAAGCAUGGGUAGCGAAGAGGAUUAGAUACCCUCGUAGUCCAUGCCGUAAACGAUGUGUGUUAGACGUUGGAAAUUUAUUUUCAGUGUCGCAGCGAAAGCGAUAAACACACCGCCUGGGGAGUACGACCGCAAGGUUAAAACUCAAAUGAAUUGACGGGGACCCGCACAAGUAGUGGAGCAUGUGGUUUAAUUCGAAGAUACGCGCAGAACCUUACCAACACUUGACAUGUUCGUCGCGACUUUAAGAGAUUAAAGUUUUCGGUUCGGCCGGACGAAACACAGGUGCUGCAUGGCUGUCGUCAGCUCGUGUCGUGAGAUGUUGGGUUAAGUCCCGCAACGAGCGCAACCCUCACUUUUAGUUGCCAUCAUUUAGUUGGGCACUCUGAAAGAACUGCCAGUGAUAAGCUGGAGGAAGGUGGGGAUGACGUCAAGUCCUCAUGGCCCUUACGUGUUGGGCUACACACGUGCUACAAUGGUAUCUACAACAGGAAGCAAGACGGCGACGUUAAGCAAAUCCUUAAAAGAUACCUCAGUUCGGAUUGCACUCUGCAACUCGAGUGCAUGAAGCUGGAAUUACUAGUAAUCGUGGAUCAGCGUGCCACGGUGAAUGCGUUCCCGGGUCUUGUACACACCGCCCGUCACACCAUGGGAGUUGGUUCUACCUUAAGGCAAGGUUUAAAACCCUUGACCACGGUAUAGUCAGCGACUGGGGUG
rnacentral:rRNA from 1 species